rnacentral:tRNA from 1 species
UUGGGUUAUGGCUCAACGGUAGAGCGCUCGCCUAGCAUGUGCGAGCGAAGCCCUGGGUUUGAUCCUCAGCACUAAA